rnacentral:rRNA from 1 species
ACAUAGGGUGCAAGCGUUGUCCGGAAUUAUUGGGCGUAAAGAGCUCGUAGGUGGUUUGUAACGUCGGGUGUGAAAAUCUGGGGCUCAACCCCAGACCUGCAUUCGAUACGGGCGAACUAGAGUGUGGUAGGGGAGACUGGAAUUCCUGGUGUAGCGGUGGAAUGCGCAGAUAUCAGGAGGAACACCAAUGGCGAAGGCAGGUCUCUGGGCCAUUACUGACACUGAGGAGCGAAAGCGUGGGGAGCGAACAGGAUUAGAUACCCUGGUAGUCCACGCCGUAAACGGUGGGCACUAGUUGUGGGAACCUUCCACGGUUUCUGCGACGCAGCUAACGCAUUAAGUGCCCCGCCUGGGGAGUACGAUCGCAAGAUUA